UACGAAGGACCCGAGCGUUAUCCGGAUUUAUUGGGUUUAAAGGGUGCGUAGGCGGAUUGAUAAGUCAGUGGUGAAAGCCCACCGCUCAACGGUGGAAUUGCCAUUGAUACUGUCAAUCUUGAGUAUGGUUGAGGUGGGCGGAAUGUGUCAUGUAGCGGUGAAAUGCUUAGAUAUGACACAGAACACCAAUUGCGAAGGCAGCUCGCUAAACCAUAACUGACGCUGAGGCACGAAAGCGUGGGGAGCAAACAGG
rnacentral:rRNA from 1 species